GUGGCUGACAUGGCACGUGAGGCGCUUUACGAA
rnacentral:scRNA from 1 species